GAUGAACGCUGGCGGCGUGCCUAAUACAUGCAAGUCGAGCGAAAAGAUGAGGAGCUUGCUCCUCUGUCGUUAGCGGCGGACGGGUGAGUAACACGUGGAUAACCUACCUAUAAGACUGGGAACACUUCGGGACACCGGAGCUAAUACCGGAUAAUAUAUUGAACCGCAGGGUUCAAUAGUGAAAGACGGUUUUGCUGUCACGACUAGAUGGAUCUGCGCCGCAUUAGCUGGGUGGUAAGGUAAAGGCUUAUCAAGGCAGCGAUGCGUAGCCGACCUGAGAGGGGGAUAGGCCACCUGGGAACGUGGACGCGGUCCAGGCUCCUACGAGAGGCAGCAGUAGGGAAUCGGCCGCAAUGGGCGAAAGCCUGACGGAGCGACGCCGCGUGAGUGAUGAAGGUCUUCGGAUCGUAAAGCUCUGUUAUUAGGGAAGAACAAAUGUGUAAGUAACUAUGCACUGCGUGACGGUACCUAAUCAGAAAGCCCCGGCUAACUACGUG
rnacentral:rRNA from 1 species